rnacentral:rRNA from 1 species
UGAGAGUGGCGAACGGGUGAGUAACGCGUGAGCAACCUGCCUAUGACAGUGGGAUAGCCUCGGGAAACCGGGGUUAAUACCGCAUAAAAUCGUAAAACACAUGUUUCAACGGUCAAAGAUUUAUCGGUCAUAGAUGGGCUCGCGUCUGAUUAGUUAGUUGGUGAGGUAACGGCCCACCAAGACAGCGAUCAGUAGCCGGCUUGAGAGAGUGUACGGCCACAUUGGGACUGAGACACGGCCCAGACUCCUACGGGAGGCAGCAGUGGGGAAUUUUGCACAAUGGGGGAAACCCUGAUGCAGCGACGCCGCGUGAUUUAGAAGGCCUUCGGGUUGUAAAAAUCUUUUCUAUGGGAAGAAAAUGACAGUACCAUAGGAAUAAGGACCGGCUAAUUACGUGCCAGCAGCCGCGGUAAUACGUAAGGUCCGAGCGUUGUCCGGAAUCAUUGGGCGUAAAGGGUACGUAGGCGGGUAAGCAAGUUAGAAGUGAAAUCCUGUAGCUCAACUACAGUAAGCUUUUAAAACUGCUCAUCUUGAGAUAUGGAAGGGAAAGUGGAAUUCCUAGUGUAGCGGUGAAAUGCGCAGAUAUUAGGAGGAAUACCGGUGGCGAAGGCGACUUUCUGGCCAUAAUCUGACGCUGAGGUACGAAAGCGUGGGUAGCAAACAGGAUUAGAUACCCUGGUAGUCCACGCCGUAAACGAUGAGUGUUAGGUGUCUGGAGUAAAUCUGGGUGCCGCAGCUAACGCAUUAAACACUCCGCCUGGGGA